GAUUUGGGAUUCGCAAUGGGAUUGUCCCCAAUGGGACAAGGUACAGACUUGUUUACUACAUCCAACAGGAAUCACAAUAUAUCCUUUGAAAUUUGUUUACAAGCACGGAUUAAAUGGAGCAUUUACUAGCGAAAUUACCUUCUUGUCCCCUGGAAAUUUUGAAAUUCCAUAUCAUCUGCCCUCAUUCCUCGUUUGUCUUACCCCUCUUUCCCCCAAAUCUGUUUUCAUCCUUUCGACAUUUUGCAGCAAAGAAAGGAGACUCCGCUUGAUUCGUUCGAAGCCACGACAUCGAUCAAAAUCUUUUUGCACGCAAAUUCUGUGGCUUCCAAACCCCUUCGGACCGAGAUACCAUUUGAACCAAGACGUAUUACUAUUCCGACGAACGGAAGUGGGAGUAGAUGAAGGAGAUCUUGGGGGGAGGUGACAUUCUUUCAUCGGGUGAAGACACUACACAAUUGUACGAAUUCAGCGAUGAUGGAUCCGACGUCAAUGUGUUGGGAGUGAACGGACGAGGAACGUGUGGAGGUAGUGAAUUUGGUUACAAGCUCAGACGACGAGUGAAAAUAUUUGAUAAGAUUGUAUGGACGAAAAGUUCAGCUUGUUGUGGUCGGAUGACAUUUGUUGAACCUAUUUUGUUGUUAAUCGAAUUGAUGUUUUAAUUGCCCCAAUUGAAAAGUAGAAACUUUUGUACUGGGCGACCUCAAGUUUAAAUUAUGUUUUGUUGGGUACUUAAUCAGACGGAAGGCAUUUUGUGGUUGUUUCUUAUGUUUAUAGUGCUAUGUUGUUCAUAUGGCCAUGUCUUUCAGUACAUUUUAUACACG